rnacentral:rRNA from 1 species
AGUUCGCGUGGAGCCAACCUUGAAAUACCACCCUGGCAACUUUGAGGUUCUAACUCAGGUCCGUUAUCCGGAUCGAGGACAGUGUAUGGUGGGUAGUUUGACUGGGGCGGUCUCCUCCUAAAGAGUAACGGAGGAGUACGAAGGUGCGCUCAGACCGGUCGGAAAUCGGUCGUAGAGUAUAAAGGCAAAAGCGCGCUUGACUGCGAGACAGACACGUCGAGCAGGUACGAAAGUAGGUCUUAGUGAUCCGGUGGUUCUGUAUGGAAGGGCCAUCGCUCAACGGAUAAAAGGUACUCCGGGGAUAACAGGCUGAUACCGCCCAAGAGUUCAUAUCGACGGCGGUGUUUGGCACCUCGAUGUCGGCUCAUCACAUCCUGGGGCUGAAGCCGGUCCCAAGGGUAUGGCUGUUCGCCAUUUAAAGUGGUACGCGAGCUGGGUUUAGAACGUCGUGAGACAGUUCGGUCCCUAUCUGCCGUGGACGUUUGAGAUUUGAGAGGGGCUGCUCCUAGUACGAGAGGACCGGAGUGGACGAACCUCUGGUGUUCCGGUUGUCACGCCAGUGGCAUUGCCGGGUAGCUAUGUUCGGAAUAGAUAACCGCUGAAAGCAUCUAAGCGGGAAACUAGCCUCAAGAUGAGAUCUCACUGGGACCUUGAGUCCCCUGAAGGGCCGUCGAAGACUACGACGUUGAUAGGUUGGGUGUGUAAGCGCUGUGAGGCGUUGAGCUAACCAAUACUAAUUGCCCGUGAGGCUUGACCAUAUAACACCCAAGCAAUU